rnacentral:rRNA from 1 species
UACGUAGGGUGCGAGCGUUGUCCGGAAUUACUGGGCGUAAAGAGCUCGUAGGUGGUUUGUCGCGUUGUUCGUGAAAACCGGGGCUUAACCCUCGGCGUGCGGGCGAUACGGGCAGACUUGAGUACUGCAGGGGAGACUGGAAUUCCUGGUGUAGCGGUGGAAUGCGCAGAUAUCAGGAGGAACACCGGUGGCGAAGGCGGCAUCCUGGACCAACACUGACACUGAGGAGCGAAAGCCAGGGGAGCAAACGGG